rnacentral:lncRNA from 1 species
AAGAAAACUUGAGACUCUCGAAACUAGACUAGAAGCAAGAAAAGAAUUAACAAGAGUGAAGACGGCUUCACUCUUGCCUCUAUAUAUAUUAUCUAACUAGAAGCUACGUGGUGAUAUUCUAUAAGACCUCUAAUAUAUAUUGACUUUGCAAGACACAUGCCUUAGCUUACAAGGCAAGUUUUGUAUGUGUGUCACGGACACAAAAUACAGACUUGAAAUCUAACAAGAAGUUCAAGAAGAAGUGGCAGAAGUAGAUUAAACAGAUGAGUACAAGAACAACACCAAAAAGGUGAGCUAGAACUCCAAGAGAU